GGGCUGUAGAUAAACGGUAGGCAGCAGAGGUGAGAUUCAAAUCUGGGACUGUCUGAUUCCCAUGCCUGAGCUCUUAGCACCCAGCUUCAGUAGUUCUGAACUGCAGCAUUACUGCCUGCAAGGCCAACCCACUUCCUAGCCCAGUCACCAGGGCCCUGAGCCACUUCGACCCUGAGGAUCAGAGAUGGCUGUCCCGAUUACCCUACUUUCUUGGUUCCCUGCAGCUUCAGAGGUUGAGGCCUUCAUAGGAUUGAGACCUUCCUCCAGAGGGCCUGGGGCCUGGUGCCCCCAGAAGCUGCUGAAGGAACCAGCCCGCCAGGCUCCUCCGUCCAUGGGAUUAUCCCGGCAAGAAUACUGGAGUGGGUGGCCAUUUCCUCCUCCAGACCCAACACGCCUGGUGUCCUUAUAAGAAGAGAAAAUGUGGAGACAUAAAGAGACACCAAAGAUGCCUACACACAGGGAAAAGAC
ensembl:lncRNA